rnacentral:rRNA from 1 species
GUGGGGAAUCUUGCGCAAUGGGCGAAAGCCUGACGCAGCCAUGCCGCGUGAAUGAUGAAGGUCUUAGGAUUGUAAAAUUCUUUCGCCGGGGACGAUAAUGACGGUACCCGGAGAAGAAGCCCCGGCUAACUUCGUGCCAGCAGCCGCGGUAAUACGAAGGGGGCUAGCGUUGCUCGGAAUUACUGGGCGUAAAGGGCGCGUAGGCGGACAGUUUAGUCAGAGGUGAAAGCCCAGGGCUCAACCUUGGAAUUGCCUUUGAUACUGGCUGUGUUGAGUACGAGAGAGGUGAGUGGAACUCCGAGUGUAGAGGUGAAAUUCGUAGAUAUUCGGAAGAACACCAGUGGCGAAGGCGACUCACUGGCCCGUUACUGACGCUGAGGCGCGAAAGCGUGGGGAGCAAACAGGAUUAGAAACCCUGGUAGUCC